rnacentral:rRNA from 1 species
CCUACGGGAGGCAGCAGUGGGGAAUAUUGCACAAUGGGGGAAACCCUGAUGCAGCGACGCCGCGUGAGUGAAGAAGUAUGUCGGUAUGUAAAGCUCUAUCAGCAGGGAAGAAAAUGACGGUACCUGACUAAGAAGCCCCGGCUAACAACGUGCCAGCAGCCGCGGUAAGACGGAGGGGGCAAGCGUUAUCCGGAGUUACUGGGUGUAAAGGGAGCGUAGGUGGCUUGGUAAUCCAGAAGUGAAAACCCAGGGCUCCACUCUGUGGAUUGCUUUUGAAACUAUCAAGCUAGAGGGCUGGAGGGUUCCGCGGAAUUCCUUGUGUAGCGGUGACAUGCGUCGAUAUUAGGCUGAACACCGGUGGCGACGGCGGCUUACUUGACAGUAACUGACACUGAGGCUCGACCGCGUGCGGAGCAAACAGGAUUAGAUACCCUUGUAGUC